CACAAUGACUCUCGGCAACGGAUAUCUCGGCUCUUGCWUCGAURAAGAACGUASCGAAAUGCGAUACUUGGUGUGAAUUGCAAAAUACCGUGAACCAUCGAGUCUUUGAACGCAAGUUGCGCCCGAAGCCAUUAGGCCGAGGGCACGCCUGCCUGGGUGUCACA
rnacentral:rRNA from 1 species